UGUUUUAGAAAAAUACUUUUUUAUAUUAUAUUAUAAACAAGCUUGUUGAACAUUUUAGCUACACACUGCAAUCGUCAGUUAUAGUAUGGGCCCAAACCUACACGAACACGCUUUGCGAUUGGCGAAAUAUGAUAUACAAACUAUAGAAACAAACUCUCUAAAAAACGAGUUAUAAAUCUGAUUGGCAAUUGCAAAACAUGUUCAUACAGGGAAGGCUACAAAGCAGUCAUUGAAGUCAAUAACAUAACACCGUAUUCACCUUACUGUCGUUCCAAUUGAAGUGUUGCUCAAAUAUUGAUUCAAAACAUUACCUCGGGCUGACCAAUUCAUUUCAUCAAGUUCCUCGAGAUAUUCAUACACUUCCUAGUAUAAUUGUAAACUUCCUGUUGAAUAGUUUGAAUGCACCAAUCACCUUUGUUGUUUGUGCAACUAACCAAUCAUAAAUAGAAAGGAAGUGACCAGAAAUGAUCAAAUACUUGGAAUUGGCUCUUUCACAGGAAGUGUAUGAAUAUCUCGAGGAACUUGAUCAAAUGAAUUGGUCAGCCUGAGGUAAUGUAUUGAAUCAAUAUUUGAGGAACACUUCAAUUGGAACGACAGUAAGACUAUUCGUUAAAGAGAUGCGACAAUAAAAAAUUACUUUGUCUCGUUUGAAAAAGCUCUUUUACUUUUUUUUUUAGUUCUCGAAAUAUUUUGGGAAGAAGUUAUUUCGCUGACCUUAGAAUGACAUUUCGUCAAAACGUUUUUCUUCAAGAUUGCUUUCGAAACGAACUUGGAGUAGGGUUAGGUUAGGGUUGGUGUUUGGAAUAAAGUUAGUGUUAGUAAAACCGUUGCUUUGUUACGUUUUGUCACUCCGAGGCCAGCGAAAUAACCUCUUCCAAUAUUUUGACUGAAGUCAUCUGUCCGCCAUAUUGGAAUAUUGUGGAUAUCAUAGAUAUAGGAGAUCUAGAUUGCUAACGCAUACCUAGCGCAGGCGGGGCCUACAUGAUAAAUCCAAGAUGGCGGUACAACAGGGCAAAAAGACUAUAGAUUCUAUUACGAAAAUCAGGAUUUUUGCAUUCUUUGCCGUCGCAUUGUUUUGAAACUUAUUCGGUCAAAUGUUAUGGUAAAGAGAAACUUACUGCGAAGAUUUUGAGCAUAUAUAUGAUUGAAUUGGAUAAAAACUCGCAAAAUUAUCCAUCGAUAAAAGUUCGUGUAUAGUACUGAUAUAGUACUAUGUAUGUAACUUGUACAGUUUUGCUUUAAUUUUUGCUCACUAUUUGCAUAAAAAGCAAAUUAUAACAGACCAUAGAUGAUAGACCCUCAUCCAGUGCUCUCAUCAGUUUACUUCUCUAACAAGCAAGGGGGGGGGGGUACAUAACAGUUCAUUUUUCAUAAUUAUGAGGACAGAGCAGAUGAUGAUGAGAGAUGCAAGUAUAAAACACCAUUCACAAGGCUAGAUGUUAACAUAGCACAGUAUUUCUGGCAAUAAAACGCUCCAACUGACCAACUGACCAUUUCACACGAACUUUUAUCGCUGGAUAAUUUUGCGAUUUUUCAUCCAAUUCAAUCAUAUAUAUGCUCAAAAUCUUCGCAGUAAGUUUCUCUUUACCAUAAAAUUUGACCGAAUAAGUUUCAAAACAAUGCGACGGCAAAGAAUGCAAAAAUCCUGAUUUUCGUAAUAGAAUCUAUAGUCUUUUUGCCCUGUUGUACCGCCAUCUUGGAUUUAUCAUGUAGGCCCCGCCUGCGCUAGGUAUGCGUUAGCAAUCUAGAUCUCCUAUAUCUAUGGUGGAUAUGCAUGUGAAGUCACAAGCAAGGCCACGCAAAAUGUGAUUGUCAUUAUGGGACAAAAACAAACUAACCGCACUUCAAUCAAUGAUCAAACAACAAAACCCUAUAGCUAGCUCAAACACGAUAUAAAAUCCAGAAUUAAUCAAAUUUUCCACAUUGCUUAAAUUAAAGUUCGCCCAACCUCAAGUCUUUUUAACAUCUCAUUCUUAAUAACUUCUGAAAUGAUAUAAUAACUUAUUUUGAAGAUUUUCGUUUGCUCAUUUUGUUUCUGAGAUAUUUCAGUUUGUUUGGUAUGCAAAUAUCCGGAAUUCACGGCACAAAUGCAUAAUGAUUUAAAGCCAAAGCUUGUAUAUCGUAUUCAGUAUCGAGUUUAAUUCGUUAAAAUGAAGUUUGGAGUUGUGGGAGGAUUACAUAUACCUAUGUAAAACACCGUUUAGCCUUUUUAUUUCAUGAUAUUUAACUGUACCUUACAUUCUCUGAUCAGUCAUUAUUCAUAUGUGACGUAAAUUCCGGACAUUUGCAUAUCAAUAAAACUGAAAUAACUCAGAGACAAAGUGUGCAAACGAAAAUCUUCAAAAUAAGUUUAUCAUUAAUAUCAUUUCAAAGGUUCUUAUAGGAAUGAGAUGUUAAAGAUGCUGUAAAGUCCGUUCUGCGCAGGCCCACAUUCGGAUGGUCGGGACCCGACCGUUGGAAUGUUAUUAAUAUUUCGCACCUUCCCAACUUUCUUGAAUUGAAUCUCUAGUCUGUAUUCAUUUACAAGCAUAGCGAACCGGAAGAGUGUUAAAAAUUCAGUAUAAUAUAUAUCUAUUCAUAUUUUACAACUGUAGCACUGAGUUCAAAAUGUAAACAAAGCGUUUGUUUACAUUACGGACUUUACAGCGUCUUUAAAAGAACUACGGUUAGGUGCACUUUAAAAACAGCACCAUUUAGACAUCCACCUUUUCUGGGAAAAGUUUGGUCACAAUACAAAAUCAUAUAAAAAUAUGCAAUCUGUUAUUAGAGCCAGCUAUCCAGAACUGACCACACCUUACGCAUCGUAUCAAAUAUAUAAAAAAUACUUUACAGAAAUUAUUUUAUCUUUAAACUCGAGACUUGGUUCACAACACGAAGCAGAGCUUGGUUUUCACUUUUUAAAGUUUCAACCUCCUGAAAAAUAGAACGGAAAAAAUUGCGUGAACAUCACUUGUGAAGUUUCAUGUUGUCUGCACAUGUACUUUCUUUGGAGACACCAUUUGCCUCCUGACAAAUCGGAAAAUGAUCAAGAUAGUGACUCUGAUUGAUUGAUUGAUUGAUUGAUUGAUUGAUUGAUUUACAUAUUGUAUUGACAUAUGACUGUUGAGAUUGCUUUUUAGUCUUCCAUAUUUGAAUGAGUCACGCUUUGGAAAUGACAAGAAAUUUUUACUACCCAACCCUUGAGUUGUUUUGUUUUUCAUUCACCCAACCUUUUACUCACUCAAAAUUUUGUUUACCCAACCCUUUUCU